GGAGACUGCCCGGUGGACAAACCGGAGGAAGGUGGGGAUGACGUCAAGUCAUCAUGGCCCUUACGGCCUGGGCUACACACGUGCUACAAUGGUCGGUACAAAGGGUUGCCAAGCCGCGAGGUGGAGCUAAUCCCAUAAAACCGAUCGUAGUCCGGAUCGCAGUCUGCAACUCGACUGCGUGAAGUCGGAAUCGCUAGUAAUCGUGAAUCAGAAUGUCACGGUGAAUACGUUCCCGGGCCUU
rnacentral:rRNA from 1 species